CGUCAAGACUCUUUGGCACCGUUUUUGGCGGACGUUUUUCUGUUGCCUUUCGAAAGGUGAAGGAAAAUG
rfam:Rhizobium sp. Root564 contig_9, whole genome shotgun sequence.